UUGAUUGACGUUUCCGCCCCUCCCCCUCCAGCCGAAUCUCAGGCGCGAUCGCUCCGCCCCUUGCCCCGCCCCCCGCAGCGCAUUGGCCAAUGGCGUGAGAGUUUUGGGCUCUCCCCGAGCCCCUCUGGGCCCGGCCCCCUCCGGGACCUCCCGGAUUGGAGCUUCGCAGACGGGCGCCCCUCCCCCCCCUGGCGGGGGCAGCUGCGGCGGCUCCGGGAGCAGCGAGAGCUGGCGUGCCGGGCCCUGGCUCUCAGCCGCUCCCUGGAGGCCGCCAAGGGAACCCCGAAGGCUCCCAGUACAAACCAGUAAGGAGAGGUG